rnacentral:tRNA from 1 species
GGAAGCGUGCCCGAAUGCCCAAGGACCACUUUGAUAGAGUGAACAAUAGGGGUUCAAGUCCCCUCGCUUCCU